rnacentral:misc_RNA from 1 species
CAAGAAGCCGAAAGGCUACUUAAAACCAUCGCGAACUUAUCCAAGUUGCUUCGGCGGGCGCGGCUCCCCUCACGGGGGACCGCAGCCCCCGCCUCUCAGGAGGUAAGGGGGCAGCCGCCGGAGGUACGAAACUCUGUAUUAUAGUGGUAUCUCUGAGUAUAAAACAAAUAAGUUA